GCGGGCCAGCAGCAACGGUGACCGCCACAAUCCCGGGAAGCCCGCAGCCGCCGGAGUCGCUGGAGCCGCCAGAUCGCGGGAGCUGGGGCUGGAGCCGCGCGUCGGGGGCAGUCGCGCCGGCCCCCGGGGAGGGGAGCAGAGGAGGGGGCUGAGCCCCUUGAGCCGGCCUGGAGCAGAGGUUCGCCGCCUGCCUCCCCACGUGGCCAGGCUCUUACCUGAGCCGCCGCGGACCUCAGAGGCUGGGGACUGGCAGCCAGGAGAAGAACAGAACAAGACCCCACCCGGGGCCUCCUAGCCCUCGCAGUCCCAGCCCCCACCUCCUCUCAGGUCCACUGCCAGCGCGGACCUCGGUUUUCCCUGGCUUAGACCACUAGAGCUAGGCGCGGUGCCCCGGGCUAACCCCGCGGCUUGGCGCCCAGCUCGCCGGCCUUGUCUACCUCCAGCGGGGACCUGGCCGACGCCCACCCGCCUCCACGCCGCCCACCUAUUGUUCCCGCGGCCAGAGCUUUCGAAGGAACUCGCCGCGCACUUCAGCCCGCCUCAGGUGGCAGCACCUCUGGACUCUGGGGUCUUGCCAGAGGCUGUGCCUUUGGCUCUCCUACCCUGAUGCCCACCCUCCACAGGCCAAGGUACGCCCAAAGUAAAGGGCUUUUCUAAACUAGGGUAUUAACUACCAUAGGCCCGUACAGGGCCGUUGAGGUCCUGCUCUGAACAUAGACUGAGGCUACCGCAAGGAAGGAACUAACCCAAGUACAGCAAGCCCAAGAUAGCAUCUGAAGAAGGUAGGGCACCGAUUAGUGUCCCGAUCCCAUAGAUGAAGAAACCAUGGGAAUUCCUGACCUAGGGCUCCAGGGCCAGGGCCAGGCCCUGCAGAAAUGCAGGAAAAAUAAGCCUCCUUUGUCAGAUUCUAAAGCAAAGAAACAUAAGUAAGAAGAAAAUUUCACUCUCUUGCAGAGUUUUUACUGGAAGUCCAGACAUAUGCAAAGACCUCCUAAAUACAGGCUCCUUUUCCACUUAGCCCUGAACAUGUCUAAGGUGGCAGCCAUGAGUGUUCCCAUUUUGCAGGUGGGAAGCCUAUCCUAGGUCUCUUCUCCAGGCAGCACAAAGCCAAUGUGAAGCCCAACGAUUCUGAUUCUUAACUAUGGUCCUGGCCUCCAGUAUAAGAUAUUAAGGGCAGAUUGGAAGUUGGCAGCUGAGAACAUAAGUCAGAGAAGGGAGGCCUACCAAAGACUUCCAUAUACUAAGAGGGCAAAAUUAAAGGAGCUAAGACCCUAAUGCAGGACUUAGC
rnacentral:lncRNA from 1 species